rnacentral:rRNA from 1 species
UGCCGCCCUGAAGGGCGUAUGGUGGAUGCCUUGGCAGACAGUACCGAUGAAGGACGUUUGAGGAUGCGAUAAGCCUCGGGGAGCCUCCAACAUGGCUUCGAUCCGAGGAUUUCCGAAUGGGGCAACCCGCCGGCCGUCAUGGGCCGGCACGGAACCUUGUUGUUCCGGGGGGUACGCAGGGAAGUGAAACAUCUCAGUACCUGCAGGAAGGGAUACUCCGUGAGUAGUGGCGAGCGAAAGCGGAUCAGACCAAACCAUGGGCGCGUGAUACCCGUCGGGGGUUGCGUCCGUGGUGUUGCGGGAGCGUGUGUCCCGGUUCCGACGGACCGGGCGGGAGUCAUAAAACGGCUUGCCAGGGGAACAGGCUUGAAGGCCUGGCCGCAGAGGGUGCCAGCCCCGUACCUGGAAGCUUGCCGUCUUCCGAUCAUGUGUCCCAAGUAGCGCGGGCCUCGUGGAAUCCCGUGUGAAUCGGCCCCGACCGUGGGGUAAGUCUAAGCAUACCUGUCUGACCGAUAGCGUACCAGUACCGUGAGGGAAAGGUGAAAAGCACCCCGGGAGGGGAGUGAAAGAGUUCCUGAAACCGUGCGCCUACAAUCCGUCGGAGCCUCCUCAAGUGGGGUGACGGCAGUGCCUAUCGAAAAAUGAGUCUGCGAGUCAGUGGUGCGUGGCGAGGCUAACCCGUCGUGGGGGAGCCGUAGCGAAGGCGAGUCUCAAAAGGCGUUUUGAGUCGCGUGCCCUGGACCCGAAGCGGGAUGAUCUAGCCCUGGGCAGGUUGAAGCGCGGGUAAGACCGCGUGGAGGACCGAACCCACCUGGGUUGAAAACCGGGGGGGAUGACCUGGGGCUAGGGGUGAAAGGCCAAUCAAAUUCCGUGAUAGCUGGUUCUCUCCGAAAUGCAUUUAGGUGCAGCGUCGGUUGAUUGCAUCGCGGGGGUAGAGCUACUGGAUGCUUGCGGGCCCGUAUGGGGUACCAACAGCAGCCAAACUCCGAAUACCGUUGAUGUGUAUUCCGGCAGUGAGUCGGCGGGGGAUGAAGCUCCGUCGGUCGAGAGGGAGACGAGCCCAGCAUAGUCGUC